rnacentral:rRNA from 1 species
UGCUAGUCGAACGGUAACAGAGAGCAAGCUUGCUGCUCUGCUGACGAGUGGCGGACGGGUGAGUAAUGUCUGGGAAACUGCCUGAUGGAGGGGGAUAACUACUGGAAACGGUAGCUAAUACCGCAUAACGUCUUCGGACCAAAGUGGGGGACCUUCGGGCCUCAUGCCAUCAGAUGUGCCCAGAUGGGAUUAGCUAGUAGGUGGGGUAACGGCUCACCUAGGCGACGAUCCCUAGCUGGUCUGAGAGGAUGACCAGCCACACUGGAACUGAGACACGGUCCAGACUCCUACGGGAGGCAGCAGUGGGGAAUAUUGCACAAUGGGCGCAAGCCUGAUGCAGCCAUGCCGCGUGUAUGAAGAAGGCCUUCGGGUUGUAAAGUACUUUCAGCGAGGAGGAAGGGAUUGUGGUUAAUAACCCCAGUCA